rnacentral:ncRNA from 1 species
CAUAUUGUUGCGAUAGUUACCCUGCUUAGUACGAGAGGAACAGCAGGUUCAGACAUUUGGUUCAUGGACUUGGCCAAUCGGUCAAUGGUUUGAAGCUAACGUCUGAGGGUUGUGACUGAACGCCUUUAAGUCAGAUUCCCACCUAGUCAAAGUGACGAUAACUUUGCUUCUUGGUGUCGGGAGGCAACCAUAUCUCAUGACAUAUGACAUGAGAUAUAUUUAUUUUUAUGAUCUUAAUAAACUAAUCUUCUUAAGCUGACGCGAGGUUGGUAUAGGUCUUCGUUGUCGUUGUCGUUGUUUUUGAUGUUGUUGGUCGAUGGCUGACGUUUCGCGACUUCGUCUUCCUCACAGCUUGGACGUAUUCUGUGUUAGAAUAUUUUUAUUAUUCAGUGGAAAAAAAUUUAGAGUGUUAAUGAAGAUCAAACUUUUAAAUAGAUGCCGUACUGAUUAGAAAGGCUACUCACCGUGCUGUUAUGAGUGGGCUGCCCUCGCGUU